rnacentral:lncRNA from 1 species
CCAUGGAUCUGGGGCUGUCUCCAUGGAUCUGGGGCUGGAUCCAUGGAUCUGGGCUGGCUUUUCGGGAAGCGGGGGCGCCAGGCGAAGCGGGGACGGCCGGGGCGGGAGCAGCCGGGAAAAGCGCUGGAUUCGGGGGCUCCGGGGGCGGAUCCGGGGCUCGGGAGCCGGGAACGCGCUGACCUGGGCAGGCCGCGGCCGCCGCUCGGUGUCCGCAUGGGCCGCGGGCCGGGGGGCGCCGAUCCCGCCGGGAUCCGCCGGGGCUCUCCCGGUACCGGCGCUGGGCCCGCGAUCCCCGAACGCGCCCGGAGCGCCGGGCCCGGCCCGGAGCCGCUGCCAGCGGAGCGGAGCGAGGGAUGCCGGGAUUUGGGAAUCAUCGCCUUCCCUCCUCCCCUUCCUCCUCCUCCUCCUCCUCCUUUCCUGCCUUUCCCCUUCCUGCUCUUCCCGCUUUUCCUGCUCUGCCUCCUCCCGCUUCUCCUGCUCCUCUUUUUCCUCGUUUUCCUCCUCCUCUUCCUCUUCCUGCUCCUCCCUUUUCGUGGUUCUUCUGCUUUUCCUUCUCUUUUUGCUCCUUUUCCUCCUCCUCCUUUUCCUGCUUUCCCUGCUCCUCUUUUUCCUCCUUUUGCUUCUCCUCUUUUUCCUCCUUUCCUCUUUUUCCUUCUCCUCUUUUUCCUCUUUUUCCUCCUUUUCCUCCUCUUUUCCUGCUUUUCCUGCUCCCACUUUUCCUGCUCCUCCUUUUCGUGCUUCUUCUGCUUUUCCUUCUCCUCUUUUUCCUCCUUUUCCUUCUCCUCCUCCUUUUCCUGCUCCUCUUUUCCCUUCUCUUCCCUUUCCAGCUUUUCCUCUUUUUCCUCCUUUUCCUCUUUUUCCUCCUUUUCCUUCUUUUCCUCCUCCUCCUUUUCCUGCUCCUCUUUUUCCUUCUCUUCCCUUUCCAGCUUUUCCUCUUUUUCCUCCUUUUCCUCCUUUUCCUGCUCCUCUUUUCCCACUUUCCCUCCUGUCCUGCUUUUCCCACUUUUCCAGGUUUUAGGAAGGAAAAUCUUUCCCGGAUUAUUUUUGGGAAGCAGCAAAAGCGAGCAUGGGGCUUCAUGAAUUAAAGGAAAUUUUCCUGAGAAUUUUGGGAAUUAAAGCGAUUUUUUCCGAUUUUCCCUAUUUUUUUUUCUUCCGAGAAUUAAAGUGAUUUUUUUUUCUGGAGUUUUUUUCCUGGGAUUAAAAUGAAUUUUCCAGGGUUUUUUGGGGUUAUUUUUGGUUUUUUUUUUUUUUUCUGGGAAUUAGAGUGUUUUUCCUGGAGCUUUUUCCAGGGAUUUAAAGUGAUUUUUCUGGAGGUUUUUUCCUGGAAAUAAAAUGAAUUUUCCUGGUUGUUUUUGUUGUUGG